rnacentral:rRNA from 1 species
ACGAACGCUGGCGGCGUGCUUAACACCUGCAAGUCGAACGGAAAGGCCCUGCUUUUGUGGGGUGCUCGAGUGGCGAACGGGUGAGUAACACGUGAGUAACCUGCCCUUGACUUUGGGAUAACUUCAGGAAACUGGGGCUAAUACCGGAUAGGAGCUCCUGCUGCAUGGUGGGGGUUGGAAAGUUUCGGCGGUUGGGGAUGGACUCGCGGCUUAUCAGCUUGUUGGUGGGGUAGUGGCUUACCAAGGCUUUGACGGGUAGCCGGCCUGAGAGGGUGACCGGCCACAUUGGGACUGAGAUACGGCCCAGACUCCUACGGGAGGCAGCAGUGGGGAAUAUUGCACAAUGGGCGGAAGCCUGAUGCAGCAACGCCGCGUGCGGGAUGACGGCCUUCGGGCUGUAAACCGCUUUCGCCUGUAACGAAGCGUGAGUGACGGUAAUGGGUAAAGAAGCACCGGCUAACUACGUG